AUUGAACGCUGGCGGCGUGCUUAACACAUGCAAGUCGAUCGGUAACAGGUGUAGCAAUACAUGCUGACGAGAGGCGGACGGGUGAGUAAUGCUUGGGAAUCUGCCUAUUAGUGGGGGACAACCCGGGGAAACUCGGGCUAAUACCGCAUACGCUCUACGGAGGAAAGCCGGGGACCGCAAGGCCUGGCGCUAAUAGAUGAGCCCAAGUCGGAUUAGCUAGUUGGUAGGGAACGGCCUACCAAGGCGACAAUCCGUAGCUGGUCUGAGAGGACGACCAGCCACACCGGAACUGAGACACGGUCCGGACUCCUACGGGAGGCAGCAGUGGGGAAUAUUGGACAAUGGGGCAACCCUGAUCCAGCGACGCCGCGUGGGUGAAGAAGGCCUGCGGGUUGUAAAGCCCUUUCGGUGGGGAAGGAAAAGUCUCGACCUAAUACGUCGGGACCUUGACGUAACCACUAAAGAAGCACCGGCUAACUCUGUGCCAGCAGCCGCUGUAA
rnacentral:rRNA from 1 species